GACGAACGCUGGCGGCGUGCUUAACACAUGCAAGUCGAACGCUGAAGCUUGGUGCUUGCACUGGGUGGAUGAGAGGCGAACGGGUGAGUAAUACGUGAGUAACCUGCCCUUGACUCUGGGAUAAGCCUGGGAAACUGGGUCUAAUACUGGAUACGACAUGCCACUGCAUGGUGGUGUGUGGAAAGGGUUUUACUGGUUUUGGAUGGGCUCACGGCCUAUCAGCUUGUUGGUGGGGUAAUGGCCUACCAAGGCGACGACGGGUAGCCGGCCUGAGAGGGUGACCGGCCACACUGGGACUGAGACACGGCCCAGACUCCUACGGGAGGCAGCAGUGGGGAAUAUUGCACAAUGGGCGGAAGCCUGAUGCAGCGACGCCGCGUGAGGGAUGACGGCCUUCGGGUUGUAAACCUCUUUCAGCACGGAAGAAGCGAGAGUGACGGUACGUGCAGAAGAAGCGCCGGCUAACUACGUG
rnacentral:rRNA from 1 species